rnacentral:rRNA from 1 species
UGGUCAAUAGCCUAAAGGCUGAACCAGCAACUUGAAGGAACGAAAAACCGAAGUCAUGAGCGGUUACCAUGUUAAUAGAAUGUGGGGCAUCAUACUGCGAAUAGUUCGAAGUAAAUUUUGAUAAUGACAUUAUUUGUUUUAAGGUCUUGACCAACUCAUGUGCCAGCAGUCGCGGUAAGACAUGGAAGGCCAGCGUUAUUCAUCUUUAUUAGGUUUAAAGGGUACCUAGACGGUAAUAUAAGCUUUUAUCUCUAUAGAUAAUUGUACUGUAGUACUAGAGUUUAAUGUAAGGAAUUCAGAACGGUGAGUGGAGGGAUAAAAUCUGUUGAUACCACUUAGAAACUGGUUUAGGUGAAGACAGGUUCUUAUGUAAAAACUGACGUUGAGGGACGAAGGCUCAAAAACAGGAACGGGAUUAGUUACCCCAGUACUAAGAGCAGACAAUGAUGAAUGCCAUAUGUAAGAUUAUAAAAUAUUCUAUGUAUAAAUGAAAGUGGAAGCAUUCCACCUCAAGAGUAAUAUGGCAACAUAUAAACUGAAAUCACUAGGCCGUUUCUGGAACUCGUAGUGAAGUAUGUUAUUUAAUUUGAUGAUCCACAAAGGACCUUACCACAGUGUGUAUAGUUAUAUACAUUAGUAUAUUUCGGACAAGUGCUGCACGGCUGUCUACAGUUGAUAUCGUGAGAACUGAUUUGCUUCAGCAAUCAACGUAAUCCCUGACUUUACUUUAAGUAAAGUAGUAAUUCUAGAUCUUAAAACCUAACUGGAUUUAAUAUAUGGGAACAUGACAAGUCAUCAUGGCCAAACAUACAAAUUGAUAGUACUGUGGGCGAUAGACGUGCCACAUUUAACCUAGACAAAAAGAUGCAAAAUUGCGAGAUUUAGCUAAUCUAUAAAAUAGGAUAGAGCAUGGAUUG